rnacentral:rRNA from 1 species
AUUCCAGUUGAUCCUGCUGGAGGUCACUGCUAUUGGGGUUCGAAUGAGACAUGCAAGUCAAAUCUGCUAGGUAAUAGCGGAUGGCGUACGGCUGAGGCAACACACAGAUAAUGUACGGCGAUGAGGGGAAUAUCCUCGGGAAACUGAGAGUAAAUCCCCGUAGCAAUAAUCUCUGAAAUGACUUUAUUGUGAAAGUGUUUACUGCUGAUACCGCAGUAUUCAGCAUCGCAAUCGGUCUGUGCCUGAUUAGACUGUUGGUGAGGUAACGGCCCACCAAAUCUACGAUCAGUAAGGGCCAUAAGCGUGGUUUCCCUCAGAAGGGUACUUAGACAAGGACCCUAGCGCUACGGCGUGCAGCAGUCCCGAAAACUUUACAAUGCGCGAAAGCGUGAUAGGGGGACCCCAAGUGUUCUUUUCUUUUUGGAAAGAACUUUUAUAGUAUUUUUAAAUGGUACUAAGAAUAAGGGCUGGGCAAAUAGGUGCCAGCAGCCGCGGUAAUACCUAUGGCCCAAGUAGUGACCACUUUUAUUGAGUCUAAAGCGUUCGUAGCUGGCUUGAGAAGUCUAUAUUUAAAUCAUUCAGCUUAACUGGAUGACACGGUAUAGAUACUCUCAGGCUAGAGAUCGGAAGAGGGAUUGGGAACUUUUUGGGUAGGAGUAAAAUCCUUUAAUCCAAAAAAGACCACCAGUGGCGAAGGCGCAAUCCCAGGACGAAUCUGACAGUGAGGGACGAAGGCUAGGAGAACAAACCGGAUUAGAUACCCGGGUAGCCCUAGCAGUAAACGCUGCUUACUAGACGUUACAUUUUCUACGAGAAAAUGUAGUGCCACAGCGAAGGCAUUAAGUAAGCCACUUGGGGAGUACAGUCGCAAGAUCGAAACUUAAAGGAAUUGGCGGGGGAGCACAAAAACGGGUGAAAUUUGCGGUUUAAUUGGAUUCAACUCCGGGAAUCUUACCAAGGGCGACAGCAAGAUGAAGGCCAGUCUAAAGAACUUGCCUAAUGCGCUGAGAGGUGUUGCAUGGCCAUCAUCAGUUAGUAUCUUGAGACGUCCCGUUAAGUCGGGUAACUAACAAGACCCUCAUCCAUAUUUACUAACGCGCAUUCCGAUGCGAGCGAGUAAAAUAUGGAGACCGCACUCGAAAGGGUGAGGAAGGUGAGGGCAAUGGUAGGUCAGUAUGACCCUAAUCCCUUGGGCCACACGCGAAUUGCAAUGGUAAAGGCAAUGGGACGCAACUCCGAAAGGAGGAGCAAACCCUCUAAUCUUUAUCCUAGUUCGGAUCGAGGUUUGUAACUCAGCCUCGUGAAGUCGGAAUCCGUAGUAACCGCAUUUUAUCAAAGUGCGGUGAAUACUUCCCUGCUCCUUGCACACACUGCCCGUCAAACCAGACAAGUUGAAUUUAAGUGAGGUUGUCAUUGAAUGUGAUAAUCGAACUUAAGUUUGGUGAGUAGGGUUAAGUCGCCACAAGGUAGCCGUAGGGGAACCUGCGGCUGGAUCACCUCCU